rnacentral:rRNA from 1 species
AGCGAACGCUGGCGGCAGGCCUAACACAUGCAAGUCGAACGGAUCCUUCGGGAUUAGUGGCGGACGGGUGAGUAACACGUGGGAACGUGCCCUUUGGUUCGGAACAACUCAGGGAAACUUGAGCUAAUACCGGAUGUGCCCUUCGGGGGAAAGAUUUAUCGCCAUUGGAGCGGCCCGCGUCUGAUUAGCUAGUUGGUGAGGUAACGGCCCACCAAGGCGACGAUCAGUAGCUGGUCUGAGAGGAUGAUCAGCCACACUGGGACUGAGACACGACCCAGACUCCUACGGGAGGCAGCAGUGGGGAAUCUUGCGCAAUGGGCGAAAGCCUGACGCAGCCAUGCCGCGUGAAUGAUGAAGGUCUUAGGAUUGUAAAAUUCUUUCAGCGGGGACGAUAAUGACGGUACCCGCAGAAGAAGCUCCGGCUAACUUCGUG